GUAGCAGAAUAGUUUGUUCUUUAAUUGGGAGUUGGUAUGAAGGGUUAUACAAAAAAUAUCUUUUCGGUUGAAUAGAGUAAAUUAAAUUUUAAGUUAAAAUGCUUGAGUGUGAUAAAGGGACGAUAAGACCCUAGAAGCUUUAAUUAUUUAUAAAAUUAAUUUAAGUUUAUUGUAAAGAGUAUUUUUUAGUAAUAUUAGCUGGGGAAGUGGUUUUAAAUAUAUUAAAAUUUUAUAUUACUUAUUUUAAGGAUAAGGGUCUUUUAUAUAAAGAAAAAUAGUAUUAGUUACUCUAGGGAUAACAGCGCAAUAAUUUUGAAGAGUUCAUAUCUAUAAUAUUAUGUGCGACCUCGAUGUUGAAUUAAGAUUGUCUUAAAGGGGUAGAAGACUUAUAAGAGGGUUUGUUCAACCUUUAAAUUUUU
rnacentral:rRNA from 1 species